UGCCAUGAGGAGAUGAACCUUUUUGAGUUU
rnacentral:piRNA from 1 species